rnacentral:rRNA from 1 species
CCCUUAGAUGUUCUGGGCCGCACGCGCGCUACACUGAUUCAUGCAACAAGUUUUGUCCUUGGCUGAUAGGCCUGGGUAAUCUUUGAACGUGAAUCGUGAUGGGGAUAGAUGAUUGCAAUUAUUCAUCUUCAACGAGGAAUUCCUAGUAAACGCAAGUCAUCAGCUUACAUUGAUUACGUCCCUGCCCUUUGUACACACCGCCCGUCGCACCUACCGAUUGAAUGGUCCGGUGAAAUCUUCGGAUCUGAGAGAUGUCUGAUUAAUUUCGGACGCCUUUUGGAAAAGUUGUUUAAACCUUACCAUUUAGAGGAAGGUGAANUCGUANCA